UACGGAAGGGGCAAGCGUUGUUCGGAAUCAUUGGGCGUAAAGGGCGCGUAGGUGGUUCUGUAUGUCUACCGUGAAAGCAUACAGCUCAACUGUAUUUUGUCGGUAGAAACUGCAGGACUUGAGGCUGGGAGGGGCUGGUGGAAUUCCCUGUGUAGCGGUGAAAUGCGUAGAGAUGGGGGAGAACACUCGUGGCGAAGGCGGCCAGCUAGGACCAGUUCUGACACUGAGGCGCGACAGCGUGGGGAGCAAACAGG
rnacentral:rRNA from 1 species